CUCAUCAAAGAUAGGUGUGCCAAGCUUGUAGCCUCAUGCCCAAGAAGACUCAAGGCUAUAAUCGCUGCCAAAGGUGCUUCAACAAAGUACUGAGUAAAGGGUCUGAAUACUUAAGUAAAUGUGAUAUUUCCGGGGGUGGUUGUAUACAUUUGCAAUACUUUCAAAAAAACUGUUUUUGCUUUGUCAUUAUGGGCUAUUAUGUGGAUUGAUGAGGGGAAAAGAAAUGUUUUAUACAUUUUAAAAUAAGGCUGUAAUGUAACAAAAUGUGGAAAAAGUCAAGGAGUCUGAAUACUUUCCGAAUGCACUGUAGCGGUACUGUAGCUAGUAGGCUGGACUGCAUAUUGUCUGCAUAAUUAAACAAUCCCUACUAAUCUAUUGUUUUGACUGUGGAAUGAUUUUAUUAUUUGUCACAGACUUUCUAACCAAGCUGGAGAGCACAAGGACGGCUAAGGACAAUGACUCAACACACCUGCAGACUGUGUAAGGGCUAUUUGACUUAGGAGAGUGAUGGAGUGCUGCAUGAGAUGACCUGGCCUUCACAAUCACCCGACCUCAAUCCAAUUGAGAUGGUUUGGGAUGAGUUGGACCGCAGAGUGAAGGAAAAGCAGCCAACAAGUGCUCUACAUACGUGGGAACUUCUUCAAGACUGUUGGAAAAUAUUGUGGGAGGUGAAAGAAUCGCUGGCUCAUUAACAUAUUUGAAGGUGUGCGUUGCAAUGUUCCAUCAAAAACAAUUAGGCACUGAGCACAGUUUUCAGGUCUGCUGAGCGCAAGCUUGAACUUUGUUUAAAUUCUAUGUCAAAUCAAAUCAAAUGUAUUUAUAUAGCCCUUCUUACAUCAGCUGAUAUCUCAAAGUGCUGUACAGAAACCCAGCCUAAAACCCCAAACAGCAAGCAAUGCAGGUGUAGAAGCACGGUGGCUAGGAAAAACUCCCUAGAAAGGCCAAAACCUAGGAAGAAACCUAGAGAGGAACCAGGCUAUGAGGGGUGGCCAGUCCUCUUCUGGCUGUGCCGGGUGGAGAUUAUAACAGCACAUGGCCAAGAUGUUCAAAUGUUCAUAAAUGACCAGCAUGGUCAAAUAAUAAUAAUCAUAGUAGUUGUCGAGGGUGCAACAAGUCAGUAACAC
rnacentral:lncRNA from 1 species